rnacentral:lncRNA from 1 species
GUCCUAUACUGCACAAGACAGCUUCCGUUCGACCUCAGUAAUCCAAACUACUCCUUCAACCUGCAGGUUUUUAAGCAUGACUGCACUCAUGGUCAUCAACAUGGAGGGGAGCUGUGACAUCCCAGACUGACCUUCAGCUCAGAGGCGAGCCAGGUAUAGCAUCAUUUUUUUUUUUUUUAAGCUUUGGAUCUUAAAUCGAGAAAAAGGUCACCAUCAGAGCUUAGAAUUUAUAAGGCUAAUCACAGAGAAGCCGAUCAGAUCUUCUGCAGUCCGUGAAUGACACCAGGCUCAGGAGGUCAGUCCUAUUGGGUGACGAUGAUAGGAUUUCGUGAGAAUCCGACACAAAGGACUCAGAGGCAGAUCGAACCACCGAAAGCUCAGACUGUUAGACCACGGGGGGACCUUCCUGUGUGGCCUGCGGACACCGGCCGCACUUUGCCAGUCGGGCAGUGGCACAGCCUACGUGCAAGCGGCCCCAGCGCAUGUCUCAUAGGUAGGGCUGGGUGUCAGGGACGGGGGCG